rnacentral:rRNA from 1 species
UACGGAGGGUGCAAACGUUGCUCGGAAUCAUUGGGCGUAAAGCGCACGUAGGCGGCUGUGCAAGUCUGGCGUGAAAGCCCCGGGCUCAGCCCGGGAAGUGCGCUCGAAACUGCACGGCUCGAGUGCCGGAGGGGAGAGUGGAAUUCCUGGUGUAGCGGUGAAAUGCGUAGAUAUCAGGAGGAAUACCGGUGGCGAAAGCGACUCUCUGGACGGCAACUGACGCUGAGGCACGAAAGCGUGGGGAGCAAACAGG